GGUUAAGCGACCAAGCGUACACGGUGGAUGCCCUGGCAGUCAGAGGCGAUGAAGGACGUGCUAAUCUGCGAUAAGCGCCGGUAAGGUGAUAUGAACCGUUAUAACCGGCGAUUUCCGAAUGGGGGAAACCCAGUGUGACUCGUCACACUAUCAUUAACUGAAUCCAUAGGUUAAUGAGGCGAACCGGGGGAACUGAAACAUCUAAGUACCCCGAGGAAAAGAAAUCAACCGAGAUUCCCCCCAGUAGCGGCGAGCGAACGGGGAGGAGCCCAGAGCCUGAAUCAGCAUGUGUGUUAGUGGAAGCGUCUGGAAAGGCGCGCGAUACAGGGUGACAGCCCCGUACACAAAAGCGCAUAUGCUGUGAGCUCGAUGAGUAGGGCGGGACACGUGGUAUCCUGUCUGAAUAUGGGGGGGACCAUCCUCCAAGGCUAAAUACUCCUGACUGACCGAUAGUGAACCAGUACCGUGAGGGAAAGGCGAAAAGAACCCCGGCGAGGGGAGUGAAACAGAACCUGAAACCGUGUACGUACAAGCAGUGGGAGCACAGGUUUACCUGUGUGACUGCGUACCUUUUGUAUAAUGGGUCAGCGACUUAUAUUCUGUAGCAAGGUUAACCGCAUAGGGGAGCCGAAGGGAAACCGAGUCUUAACCGGGCGUUAAGUUGCAGGGUAUAGACCCGAAACCCGGUGAUCUAGCCAUGGGCAGGUUGAAGGUUGGGUAACACUAACUGGAGGACCGAACCGACUAAUGUUGAAAAAAUUAGCGGAUGACCUGUGGCUGGGGGGUGAAAGGCCAAUCAAACCGGGAGAUAGCUGGUUCUCCCCGAAAGCUAUUUAGGUAGCGCCUCGUGAACUCAUCUCCGGGGGGUAGAGCACUGUUUCGGCUAGGGGGCCAUCCCGGCUUACCAACCCGAUGCAAACUGCGAAUACCGGAGAAUGUUAUCACGGGAGACACACGGCGGGUGCUAACGUCCGUCGUGAAGAGGGAAACAACCCAGACCGCCAGCUAAGGUCCCAAAGUCAUGGUUAAGUGGGAAACGAUGUGGGAAGGCCCAGACAGCCAGGAUGUUGGCUUAGAAGCAGCCAUCAUUUAAAGAAAGCGUAAUAGCUCACUGGUCGAGUCGGCCUGCGCGGAAGAUGUAACGGGGGCUAAACCAUGCACCGAAGCUGCGGCAGCGACGCUUAUGCGUUGUUGGGUAGGGGGAGCGUUCUGUAAGCCUGCGAAGGUGGCCUGUGAGGGUUGCUGGAGGUAUCAGAAGUGCGAAUGCUGACAUAAGUAACGAUAAAGCGGGUGAAAAGCCCGCUCGCCGGAAGACCAAGGGUUCCUGUCCAACGUUAAUCGGGGCAGGGGUGAGUCGACCCCUAAGGCGAGGCCGAAAGGCGUAGUCGAUGGGAAACGGGUUAAUAUUCCCGUACUUGGUGUUACUGCGAAGGGGGGACGGAGAAGGCUAUGUUGGCCGGGCGACGGUUGUCCCGGUUUAAGCGUGUAGGCUGACUUUCCAGGCAAAUCCGGAGAGUCAAGGCUGAGGCGUGACGACGAGGCACUACGGUGCUGAAGCAACAAAUGCCCUGCUUCCAGGAAAAGCCUCUAAGCAUCAGGUAACAUCAAAUCGUACCCCCAAACCGACACAGGUGGUCAGGUAGAGAAUACCAAGGCGCUUGAGAGAACUCGGGUGAAGGAACUAGGCAAAAUGGUGCCGUAACUUCGGGAGAAGGCACGCUGACACGUAGGUGAAGUGAUUUACUCAUGGAGCUGAAGUCAGUCGAAGAUACCAGCUGGCUGCAACUGUUUAUUAAAAACACAGCACUGUGCAAACACGAAAGUGGACGUAUACGGUGUGACGCCUGCCCGGUGCCGGAAGGUUAAUUGAUGGGGUCAGCGCAAGCGAAGCUCCUGAUCGAAGCCCCGGUAAACGGCGGCCGUAACUAUAACGGUCCUAAGGUAGCGAAAUUCCUUGUCGGGUAAGUUCCGACCUGCACGAAUGGCGUAAUGAUGGCCAGGCUGUCUCCACCCGAGACUCAGUGAAAUUGAACUCGCUGUGAAGAUGCAGUGUACCCGCGGCAAGACGGAAAGACCCCGUGAACCUUUACUAUAGCUUGACACUGAACAUUGAGCCUUGAUGUGUAGGAUAGGUGGGAGGCUUUGAAGCGUGGACGCCAGUCUGCGUGGAGCCGACCUUGAAAUACCACCCUUUAAUGUUUGAUGUUCUAACGUGGACCCGUGAUCCGGGUUGCGGACAGUGUCUGGUGGGUAGUUUGACUGGGGCGGUCUCCUCCUAAAGAGUAACGGAGGAGCACGAAGGUUGGCUAAUCCUGGUCGGACAUCAGGAGGUUAGUGCAAUGGCAUAAGCCAGCUUGACUGCGAGCGUGACGGCGCGAGCAGGUGCGAAAGCAGGUCAUAGUGAUCCGGUGGUUCUGAAUGGAAGGGCCAUCGCUCAACGGAUAAAAGGUACUCCGGGGAUAACAGGCUGAUACCGCCCAAGAGUUCAUAUCGACGGCGGUGUUUGGCACCUCGAUGUCGGCUCAUCACAUCCUGGGGCUGAAGUAGGUCCCAAGGGUAUGGCUGUUCGCCAUUUAAAGUGGUACGCGAGCUGGGUUUAGAACGUCGUGAGACAGUUCUGGUCCCUAUCUCGCCGUGGGCGCUGGAGAACUGAGGGGGGCUGCUCCUAGUACGAGAGGACCGGAGUGGACGCAUCACUGGUGUUCGGGUUGUCAUGCCAAUGGCACUGCCCGGUAGCUAAAUGUGGAAGAGAUAAGUGCUGAAAGCAUCUAAGCACGAAACUUGCCCCGAGAUGAGUUCUCCCUGAGACUUUGAGUCUCCUGAAGGAACGUUGAAGACGACGACGUUGAUAGGCCGGGUGUGUAAGCGCAGCGAUGCGUUGAGCUAACCGGUACUAAUGAACCGUGAGGCUUAACCUU
rnacentral:rRNA from 1 species